rnacentral:rRNA from 1 species
UACGAAGGGGGGCUAGCGUUGCUCGGAAUUACUGGGCGUAAAGGGAGCGUAGGCGGAUAGUUUAGUCAGAGGUGAAAGCCCAGGGCUCAACCUUGGAACUGCCUUUGAUACUGGCUAUCUUGAGUAUGGGAGAGGUGAGUGGAACUCCGAGUGUAGAGGUGAAAUUCGUAGAUAUUCGGAAGAACACCAGUGGCGAAGGCGACUCACUGGCCCAUUACUGACGCUGAGGCUCGAAAGCGUGGGGAGCAAACAGG